rnacentral:rRNA from 1 species
UACGUAGGGUCCGAGCGUUGUCCGGAAUUACUGGGCGUAAAGAGCUCGUAGGUGGUUUGUCGCGUUGUUCGUGAAAACUCACAGCUCAACUGUGGGCGUGCGGGCGAUACGGGCAGACUAGAGUACUGCAGGGGAGACUGGAAUUCCUGGUGUAGCGGUGGAAUGCGCAGAUAUCCGGAAGAACACCGGAGGCGAAGGCGGCUUGCUGGACCUGGUCUGACGCUGAGGCGCGAAAGCGUGGGGAGCGAACAGG